UACGGAGGGUGCGAGCGUUGUCCGGAAUCACUGGGCGUAAAGGGCGCGUAGGCGGAUGGCACAGUCAGAUGUGAAAUUCCCGGGCUUAACCUGGGGGCUGCAUUUGAUACGUGUGAUCUAGAGUGAGGAAGAGGGUCGUGGAAUUCCCAGUGUAGAGGUGAAAAUUCGUAGAUAUUGGGAAGAAACACCGGUGGCGAAGGCGGCGACCUGGUCCUGACUGACGCGGAGGCGCGAAAAGCGUGGGGGAGCAAACAGG
rnacentral:rRNA from 1 species